GGUUUCGUAUCUCAGCUGGUAGAGCGCUUGCGGCAUUUAGGACAUGCUGUUUCUGUUGCUGGUUCGAAUCCAGCCGAAACCU